GUUGGUCACCAAUUGUUUGGCGGAAAAAGAAAUCAAGCUCCUGCGGUUUCGGCAAUGGUGCCUGUGACACCGUUUUGGUAUGUAUUAGUGACCAAAUUUAUUUGGUCCCUAUCUCAUUCGUUAUCCUUGCAUCAUAUGUCUCUAUACAUCUCGUCUUAACCCAUGAAACUAGCACGAACCCGUACAGCCUAAUGACCCCAACCUCCCAAAUUUCCCCUAUUUCCCCACUGUGCGCCCAAUUCUCACACGAUUUUUAAACGUGAAUGCCAAUAGAAAGAGAGAGAGAAUAUCUGCUACCAAUUAGCACCGUCGUCGGCAGUGCAUCUGGACCAUAUCUCUUUGUCACCGAUGAAAACAUUAUCGUCACCACCACAAUAAACAUAAAGCAGACCUUUCAAUAACCCUUAUCUUGGGUCUUCGAUCAACAGUUAGAGAUACUAAGUUUUUUUUUUUUUUUUUUUUUUUGGUGCAGUUAUUUGUUUCUCCUUCUGGUGUCAUAUAUUGAGUCUGUGAUGAUGUAUUAUUAUUUUUAAUUGACAUUUUUUGUUUUUGAUUAGUGAUACAUUAGAAAUAGAAGCUGUUAUUUUUUAAUUCUCAAAUACACUCAUUCUUUGACUGUCAGAACUGUGAAUUUUUUUUGUGUGUGAAAUUGACAGAGCUUCACUUCUCACAUUGUGAUACAUAGCAAUAGAAGCUUUUACUUUCUAAAUGCUCAAGUAUACUAGUUAUUUGACUGGGUCUAUUUUUUUAGAGCAUUAAUUUAAAUAUAUUUCUACAACAAAAUUAUUUGCAUUUCAUGGAAAUUUAAGAACCUUGUUUGAUUAGGAUACUAUAUUAUCUUGACCAAUUCUUCAUUUUCCUUGGGGUUAUUAGACUAAGUUUGGUGUGUUUCUAUUCCUUCCUCUUCCUUUUCCUCAAAUUUUUGCACUUUUAUAAAAGGUAGCUCUCUGCUCUUCUUUCUUUUUUACUCAUAAAGUAAGUCUAUUACAAAAUUUAAUAACAAGAAUUCCCAUGUCAACCCAAUAGUCUAUUACAAAAUUUAAUAGUUUUGUAUACUUUUUGUCUAGAACUUGCUGAAAAUAUUUACCCUUGAAUAUUCUCUUUAAUGGGGCAGCCUCAUAUUUCCCUUAUAUAUUUGAGAUUUUGAGUCUAUGGGUGCCCUUGACAUUUUUUUCAACAAUUCUCUCUUUUAAUAGUUAAUUGAUGUUGAUUAUUUGGGCAAUGUUACCAGUCGUACAACCACCACCAUUUGAAUUUACAUGAUCCACCACAAUAGAGUCACGAUUUUAAGUCUCUUGUCUUGUAUAUAUUUAAUUUGUACCACUUGGUAAAGACACUAACAUUGUUCUUGUACUUAUCUUGUUAUUAGUUUUGUAGGCUUGAUUAUUCUUAAAAUUAGUCGAGGUACAUUUACUGAUCAUUGACUAGGAUAUUUGACAAGAAAGUCUAAAGUUGGGUUAUGUUGUUGCCAUUUCUAUUACCUUUUCUUUUAACCAUAUUUGUUUUUGUUGGGUUAGUUCUGUUCGUUUAAGGUUUAGUCAUAUCUUUAACUUCUUUUUAUUUUAAUAACAAUGCAUUUUACUAAUUUAAAACUUUUGAACUUUUAAAUUCUUUGUUGCAUUUCAUAAAAUCUCUCAUUUAGUUGGUGAUUAUUUUUUCUUACUUCGCAUUGUUUAUAACAUUCACAAAUGUAGAUGAACAUGAGCUGGAGAUUAAAGAUUUUAUUGAGGUGGCUAAGGCCCAAAAGAAGAAAACUUUAUUCUCGGUGAUGACACUUCAAAUGAAGAAGAUACAUCCAAUGAUGGUUGCUCAGAUGAAGAAGAUAUUAUGUUCUAUGAUGAAGUUUCAAUCCAGUUUUUGUAAUCCUCUCUCUUUGAUCAAUGUUUUUUUUACUAAGGAUACACUAUUUAUUUUGUAGGUAGAGAUUUAUCCAACUUACCACUUUUGGUGGUUAGAUGAGGCAAAUGAAGGCAAGCUUGCAUUCUAUUAACUUCUACCAUCAUUGCAGCAAAUGUUGGCUUUAGAGCAUUCCCUCUUAUCUUAAGUUAAUCAGUAACAAUCAACUUGGUAUAUAUGCUGAAACUUCUGGAGUGUUUGUUGAUGAGAUGGCCUCAGGCAAAUGAAGGUAAGCUUCCAUUCGAAGGAUUUGUGUUUUAAUCUACAUAUAGUUGUUUCCAAUGUCGUCAAUUGUCUGGAUUGUUUUGCUCAAUGUUUCUCCUAUUCUUCUUCCUUUUUACUUUCCUGAUUUUCAAAAUUUGCUAAAGAAAAGGAAAUGAAUUCUAAUUGGACUAUUCAGCCUAAUUACUUUUUGUGCAUUCAGUGUAGCUUUUUUGCUGCUUUUUUAUGGAGUGAGAUUUCCACUUUGGAGUUGGAUGAUGUUGUUUCCAAUGUCAUUUAUAUUUCGUACUAAAUUCAAUAGCUUUGUUUAUCUAAGGAGAAAGAGCAAUUGAUUGGGAGGACAUGAAAAAAAUAAACUACUCAUGGAAGUGACAAAGUAAAGUGAUGAGAUUAGUGCCCCCAUAAGUAGGGACUUGGAAUAUUGCUUUUAUGUUUUAGUUUGGUUAUUUUGUGUUGCACAAUUGAAAUUUUAUGUUGUAUUAGAAUCGAACAAUUGAGGGUAGAAAUUUGAUCAAAUUAUGUGUAAGUUUGUAUUUGAACUCGAAUUAUUAUGUACUUCUUAAUGAAAUUUAAUGUAAUGUUUAAAUUUGUUA